UACAGAGGUCUCAAGCGUUGUUUCGGAUUCAUUGGGCGUAAAGGGUGCGUAGGUGGCGCUGUAAGUCGGGUGUGAAAUCUUGGAGCUUAACUCCAAAACUGCACUCGAUACUGCUUUGCUUGAGGACUGGAGAGGAGAUUGGAAUUCACGGUGUAGCAGUGAAAUGCGUAGAUAUCGUGAGGAAGACCAGUGGCGAAGGCGGAUCUCUGGACAGUUCCUGACGCUGAGGCGCGAAGGCCAGGGGAGCAAACGGG
rnacentral:rRNA from 1 species